rnacentral:rRNA from 1 species
GACGAACGCUGGCGGCGUGCUUAACACAUGCAAGUCGAACGGAAAGGCCCUGCUUUUGUGGGGUGCUCGAGUGGCGAACGGGUGAGUAACACGUGAGUAACCUGCCCUUGACUUUGGGAUAACUUCAGGAAACUGGGGCUAAUACCGGAUAGGAGCUCCUGCUGCAUGGUGGGGGUUGGAAAGUUUCGGCGGUUGGGGAUGGACUCGCGGCUUAUCAGCUUGUUGGUGGGGUAGUGGCUUACCAAGGCUUUGACGGGUAGCCGGCCUGAGAGGGUGAACGGCCACAUUGGGACUGAGAUACGGCCCAGACUCCUACGGGAGGCAGCAGUGGGGAAUAUUGCACAAUGGGCGGAAGCCUGAUGCAGCAACGCCGCGUGCGGGAUGACGGCCUUCGGGUUGUAAACCGCUUUCACCUGUGACGAAGCGUGAGUGACGGUAAUGGGUAAAGAAGCACCGGCUAACUACGUG